CCUACGGGUGGCAGCAGUGAGGAAUAUUGGUCAAUGGGCUUACGCCUGAACCAGCCAAGUCGCGUGAGGGAAGACUGCCCUAUGGGUUGUAAACCUCUUUUGUCAGGGAGCAACGCCGGCUACGUGUAGCCGGACUGAGAGUACCUGAAGAAAAAGCAUCGGCUAACGCCGUGCCAGCAGCAGCGGUAAUACGGGGGAUGCGAGGGUUAUCCGGCUUUAUUGGGUUUAAAGGGUGCGUAGGCGGAAUGCCAAGUCAGCGGUAAAAUCGCGGGGCUCAACCUCGCUCCGCCGUUGAAACUGGCGGUCUUGAGUGGGCGAGAAGUAUGCGGAAUGCGUGGUGUAGCGGUGAAAUGCAUAGAUAUCACGCAGAACUCCGAUUGCGAAGGCAGCAUACCGGCGCCCAACUGACGCUGAAGCACGAAAGCGUGGGUAUCGAACAGGAUUAGAUACCCCUGUAGUC
rnacentral:rRNA from 1 species